UACGGAGGGAGCUAGCGUUGUUCGGAAUUACUGGGCGUAAAGCGCGCGUAGGCGGCUUUGUAAGUUAGAGGUGAAAGCCCGGGGCUCAACCCCGGAACUGCCUUUAAAACUGCAUCGCUUGAAUCCAGGAGAGGUGAGUGGAAUUCCGAGUGUAGAGGUGAAAUUCGUAGAUAUUCGGAAGAACACCAGUAGCGAAGGCGGCUCACUGGACUGGUAUUGACGCUGAGGUGCGAAAGCGUGGGGAGCAAACAGG
rnacentral:rRNA from 1 species